CUCCCGCACUCACGCCGUCCCCUCUCCUUCCUCUCUUUCUCCUCUGCGCCUGCCUCCCUCCCUCCCCAUCGACCUGCGCCUGCCUCCCUCCCCAUCGGCCCCCUCCCCCCGUCGCUCAUCCUCUUGCGUCACCCGAAGGGGAGCCGCCGCCGCUCGGCCCUCUCCCCCUCGGCGUCGAGCGGCUCAUGGCGGUGCCGGAUCCGGUGUCGGGGUCCAGGGGCACGCAGGAUCGAGGCGUGACAACUCAUUGGUGAGCGCGGCGGCCGCCAUGGACGAGCUCAAGCCGGUCAUGUGGGCGCGUUGGUUAGCGCGGCGGCGGCCGUGGCCGAGCUCGAGCCCGGGUGCACCGGCGAGGGUACUAGGGGGAUUUCACCGUGAUCUCCUCCUCGUCAUCGGUCAGUUGUCUUGCAGGUAGUUCGAGAGUGUGACCUCUUGGCCGUGCGGUUUGCUUGCCGUCACCUUGGCCGCCGGCAUGCCGUUGAAGAGUGUAUUGUUCUGGUCCCUUUCCUAGCCCUGUGCUACCUUUGCUGCGGAUAAGUUGUGGCUCUUCGAGGAUAGCUCACAUUGCUUAGUUGCGCAGAGAACUAGGAGAUCUCAUCUAACUAUCUUGGCUGAGCUUGUUCAAUUGACAAGGCGGUGGUAACUUCAGAAUUUCAUGAAUGAGAAUAUUGUUUAUAUUGUCAGAAGUUCACAUCAUGUGCCUUCCCUUCAGUUUUCACAUGAAACUAAUUUUUCUCCCAUGUUUAGAAUUUAUACAUAAGUGUUGACCGACUCUUCAUGUUCAUUGCCUACUUUGACAUUAUUUUUUUAAGAAUGUCUUUUAAUGGUGUUUGAUCAAUCUUAUCAGUUAACCACACUACAUGUUCUGCAUUCUUGCUUUGUUUGUUGGCUAUGUUUCUUGGCUGGGUUGGUGUGCAGGAUAAUAUGGGUGAAUUAACAAUCAAAAAUGAAAAACGGUGCAGGGCUAGGGGCUAGACAGUGGUGAAUUAACACACUAUUAGUGACAAAGUAAAAAGAAACUGGUUCCGAGCAUUCGGGUUGCAGGUUCUGAGGUGUGAUCGUUGAGGUGGGGUAGCAAAUAUAGUUAGCAGUAUUGUAUCCUAACCUGGAGAACAUCCAUUUACUAAUUUUGGGUCCGGAGUUCUGUUAGUGAAUUAGAAAAUAGUGAGCCCCUGCUCUGAGGCCAAGGUACGCCAAUGAUCGUCCAAGGUACGCCAAUGAUCAAAAGAACACCUGAAUGAAAAAAAGUUCUUCGAUUUGCAGCGAACUUUCAGUAGAUAUCGUCUCUAUUUCUUUUACAUGUGGAUAUUGUUGUUUCAAAGCAAAUUUCACCGUUAAGUUUUACCAGGUUUUGUUACCUAUAAUCUGUUUUUUAUCAGGUUCUUUUUUUUGGUUUUAUCAGGUUUUGUUACCUAUAAUCUGUUUUUAUCAGUUUUUCUUGCUUAUUCUCUCUAAUCAGAAAAGGAGCCUGAAAAUCUGCAUUUACAUUUGCAGAUACGGCAGGAAAGUACAGCUUAUCCAGAGACACCAAUUGGGAGAGGUACAACAUAUGCAUUUCAAAGAGAACUGGACUCUGCUAAUUUUGUGAUUUCACCAAGGUUUGCGUUGAUCCCACUCUCUUGCAUUUUUGCUUUCACAAUUACUAGGACUCCAGUAAUAACCACAUUAUGAAAUGGGCGAUAAUCAGCGACGCUAUUUACAUCAGUGAUGACGAAGGUAAGCGCCGCCAUAAACGCCAACGUGCCAAAAAGACAAGGGGUCGAGCUCCAUGUAGCGAACCAUGUCUUUGUGAGAGGACCUUAACAAGAGAUUGUUCUUCGCAAGUUAGACUGAACUCUUACGCAUAGGACCAAUAUGGUGCGAACUAUGGGGCAAACCAUCGCUCACUAUCCACAAGCGCAUGUUCAUGUGACGUGCCAUGUGAGAAGUCGAACGUGAAGACAAUCAAGUGAAGUUAUCCAAUAGUAUGCUUUAGUUGAACUGUAUAGGUCCGCUCUGGCUUGAUUUUGUUGUCUAACUCUACUCUGUGUAUCUAACUUAAUGUGAAUUGAUCGUCCUGCCUUAGUUUUGGAACAAAGAAAUGUUUCCCUUUUAUUAUGAGCCUCCAGAUCAUUUGUUGUACUGAUUAAAUAUUUCCUACUCACCUUGCUUUUGGUAUACCCAACAUUGUUCUUGAUUUACUUUUGGAACACAAUAUAUGUUUCCCCUUA